GUCCCUGCCUGUUUGGGAGUCUUCGGAGGCGUUUCCUUGGGGACCUGGGACUCUCUCGUUCCUACUGUAAGCUCCUUGAAGACAGGAACAUCAUCAUGGCUGUUUAUCACAUUCCUCAGCAUCGGGCACAGAGCCAGCUUUCCACUGGCAGCCAGUGUGUGAAGAACUGAACCAACUCCAACUCAGUGGCAUAGAAAGAACGUGAAUUAUGUUGUACCAGUGGUCACUCCUGAACUGGAACAUUGGCCUUUGAAAUAAACCUUAGACCUUCCAGCUUCCACGAACAUCCACUCUGAGUGAGCAUCUAGUGAGGCUGUUGGAAUUCUCAUCAAACUUCCCCUGGUUAUAAAGACCCUUGAUUUUAAGAUUAACGUUCUGUGAAGGAAUACAUGGCAGAAAGCACAGACUGUGAGAGGGAAUAAGCUCCCAGACCACUGGCAUUGAGUUUUCCCGAAGACGAGCGAGGCC